rnacentral:rRNA from 1 species
UACGUAGGGGGCGAGCGUCAUCCGGAUUUACUGGGCGUAAAGCGCGUUAAGGCGGUUGGCAAAGUUGGUUGUGAAAUCUCAGGGCUCAACCCUGAAAUUGCGACCAAUACUGGUCGACUAGAGUGUGAGAGAGGAAGGUGGAAUUCCCGGUGUAGUAGUGAAAUGCGUAGAUAUCGGGAGGAACACCAGUGGCGAAGGCGGCCUUCUGGCUCAUAACUGACGCUGUAGCGCGAAAGCGUGGGGAGCGAACCGG